rnacentral:rRNA from 1 species
CUGCAAACCGACUCAGGUGGACGGGUAGAAUAUACCAAGGCGCGUGAGAGAACCCUGGCUAAGGAACUCGGCAAAUUGACACCGUAACUUCGGGAGAAGGUGUGCCUAUUGGCGUGAACCGACUUGCUCGGAUAGCGUCGGUAGGUCGCAGAGAAUCGGGGGUUGUGACUGUUUACUAAAAACCUAGCACUCUGCUAAGUCGAAAGACGACGUAUAGGGUGUGAUGCCUGCCCGGUGCUGGAAGGUUAAGGG